AUGCGUAGAGACCGAGAGGUACCCCGAUGGUGAAGACAGCUUCCUGGGCGUUUCCUGACGCUGAAGCACUAAGGCCAGGGGAGCGAAGGGGAUUAGAUACCCCCGUAGUCCUGGCUUCAAACGAUGUGGGCUUGGUGUCGGCCCCCUACAGAGGGUCGUUGCCGGAGCUAACGUGUUAAGCCCACCGCCUGGGGAUUACGUCCGCAAGGAUGAAACUCAAGGGAAUUGACGGGGGCCCACACAACCGGUGGAGCACGUGGUUUAAUUCGAUGAUAAGCGAGGAACCUUACCAGGGCUUGACCUAGCGGUAGUAGGAUCCUGAAAGGGAAACGACCUCAAGCUUUGCUUGAGGAGCCGUGGCAGGUAUUGCAUGGCUGUCGUCAGCUCGUGUCGUGGGACGUUGGGUUAAGUCCCGUAACGAGCGCAACCCCUGCUCUUAAUUGCCAGCGGGUAAUGCCGGGUACUAUAAGGGGACUGCCGGAGAAUAUCCGGAGGAAGGAGGGGAUGACGUCAAGUCAUUAUGAUCCUUAUGCUCUGGGCGACACACGUGCUACAAUGGGCACUACAAUGAGGAGCAAGUCUGCAAGGACGAGCAAAUCUCAAAAAGGUGCCCCCAGUGCGGAUUGGGGUCUGCAACCCGACCCCAUGAAGAUGGAAUCGGUAGUAAUCGCGGGUCAGCCAUACCGCGGUGAAUAUGUACUUGGGCCUUGUACACACCGCCCGUCACACCAAUCGAGUAGGCGACACCCGAAGUCGACGUAUGUUGCCGAAGGUGUUACCUGCAAGAGGGGUGAAGUCGUAACAAGGUAGA
rnacentral:rRNA from 1 species